ensembl:lncRNA
AUCUACUAUAACGUACCUGUUUUAACUGCUAUACUAUAUGAUAACAUGCUGUACUAUAUUUUACUGUCAUAGAAUAUAACUAUUUUAUCAACUAUAACUUUUUAAUCUACUAAACCGUACUAUACUACACAAUACUAUUACUAUUUUAUCUACUGUACUGCACAGUAAUAAAGAUACUAUAUCUCAGCUUUGGAGCAUGUUACAAUAACACUAUGUGCACUCCUGUGUUACUCUUGAUCUCCCUAACGCACACUGUGAAUUUGGGGAAGAUCUGAGAACGUCAAAUUUUUCACCCAAAAUAGAAAAAUGGUAAGGGGUUAACCUUUGUGAUUUUUUGGGGGUCAAAAAUUCAUCGUUCUCAGAUUUACACCAAAUUCAUACCGUGCGUUAGGGAGGUCAAAACGAACAGAAGAGUCUGAUUCGUUUCAUCCGAUCAUGCUCCAGAGCCGAGAUCUGAGCCUCUCAUUUCCAGUAUAUUACACUCAAUAAAAUAUACAGGUUCAUACACAAAUGUUCACAUUUUAAUGGUCAAUUUCAGUUAAACUACACAUGCAGUGUACGAGAUUUGAUGAAAUAUACCGGUUUUAUCUGCUAUUUUGUACUUUAACAAUUUUAUCAACUCUACUGUAGUAUAUUUGACAUAUUUCAGCUAUUAUACUACACUAUAACAAUUUUAUGUACUAUAACGUACCUGUUUUAACUGCUAUACUAUAUGAUAACAUGCUGUACUAUAUUUUACUGUCAUAGAAUAUAACUAUUUUAUCAACUAUAACGUUUUAAUCUUCUAAACUCUACUAUACUAUACGAUACUAUUACUAUUUUAUCUACUGUACUGCACAAUAAUAAAGAUACUAUAUCUCAGCUUUGGAGCAUGAUAGAGCAAAACUGUGUGCACUGAUGUGUUACUCUUGAUCUCCCUAACGCACACUGUGAAUUUGGGGAAGAUCUGAGAACGUCACAUUUUUCACCCAAAAUAGAAAAAUGGUAAGGGGUUAACCUUUGUGAUUUUUUGGGGGUCAAAAAUUCAUCGUUCUCAGAUUUACA